UACGGAGGGUGCAAGCGUUAUCCGGAUUCACUGGGUUUAAAGGGUGCGUAGGUGGAUUGGUAAGUCAGUGGUGAAAUCUCCGGGCUCAACCCGGAAACUGCCAUUGAUACUAUUAGUCUUGAAUUUUGUUGAGGUAGGCGGAAUAAGUCAUGUAGCGGUGAAAUGCAUAGAUAUGACUUAGAACACCAAUUGCGAAGGCAGCUUGCUAAACAAAUAUUGACGCUGAGGCACGAAAGCGUGGGGAUCAAACAGG
rnacentral:rRNA from 1 species